rnacentral:rRNA from 1 species
GACGAACGCUGGCGGCGUGCUUAACACAUGCAAGUCGAACGGAAGGGCCCUGCUUUUGUGGGGUGCUCGAGUGGCGAACGGGUGAGUAACACGUGAGUAACCUGCCCUUGACUUUGGGAUAACUUCAGGAAACUGGGGCUAAUACCGGAUAGGAGCUCCUGCUGCAUGGUGGGGGUUGGAAAGUUUCGGCGGUUGGGGAUGGACUCGCGGCUUAUCAGCUUGUUGGUGGGGUAGUGGCUUACCAAGGCUUUGACGGGUAGCCGGCCUGAGAGGGUGACCGGCCACAUUGGGACUGAGAUACGGCCCAGACUCCUACGGGAGGCAGCAGUGGGGAAUAUUGCACAAUGGGCGGAAGCCUGGUGCAGCAACGCCGCGUGCGGGAUGACGGCCUUCGGGUUGUAAACCGCUUUCGCCUGUGACGAAGCGUGAGUGACGGUAAUGGGUAAAGAAGCACCGGCUAACUACGUGC